GCUGGGCGCGUGGCACAUGCCUGUAAUCUCAGCAGCUCAGGAGGCUGAUACAGGAGGAUGACAAAUUGCAAGCCAGCCUCAGCAAUUGCAAUGUUCUAUGCAACUUAGUGAGACCCUGUCUCUU
rnacentral:sRNA from 1 species